CUUCUUCUUCUUUCUUCUUCUCUGUUCUUCCUCUCCGUUUCUCUGUCGAUCUCAUUUCCAAUGGAUUGAGCUGGACUAUUUUGAUAAUAAUUCAUGUGAAUCUUUUUCUUGUUGAAUAUAAGAAGUAGGUGUUGAUGUCACGGUUUUUUGAUCACGGGAAGAAGAGGUUUGAGUUGCUGCUGUAAAUCGAGAAUUAUAUUUUGUUUUGGAGAUAAGGAAAUCAAGAGAAGAUGAUGAUUCAGUUGAGAACCUUGGGAUGGUGGUGGUUUCGAUUUAAAUGGUUGAUUAAGAUUCAACAUGAAAAGGUACUUCAGAUUUAAUUAAUUAGGGUUCUUUUGAAAUGAAGAUCAAAUUGUACGAAUUUGAGUAUUUAAUGGAGUAACUAGUGAUGGGUUUUAAUCAGGUAUGAAGUAGAAAUGUUUGUGUGGAUUUAAUUUUGAUUUCAAAGGAAAUUAGGGUUUCUCAUGUUCUUCCCCAAUUUAAGAGUUCGGGUUUCAAGUUGAGUUACAAAGAAUGAAGUUGAAAUUGAUAUUCUAUAAGGAUGAUUAGAAGCGGGUUUGAUGUGAAUUAUUGAUUGAGACCGAGUUGUGUUAAUAAUGAAGAUUGAUUUUAUAGUUAGGGUAUUGAAGUUACUAAUUAUGAAGUUUCAUCCGAGGUGAUGAGUCGAAUAUAGGGAAAAGGUAUGAGUAAUAUUGACUUGAUGGUAAGAUGGUAUUGCAGGAGAGUGUUACAGUAUGCAUUUGAUUUGUAAUUAGUGGUGUUGAACUAAACUGAGUUAGAGUUUUGCAGUUGGAAAUGAUGUUUCUGUGGAUUGAAAUUGAAAUGGAUUGGUGGAGAAGAUGAAUUAGUUUUUAAAAGGUUGGACAAGUACCUGAGUUGGUUAAGAUGGAUGUAGUGAUUGUUUGAAUGUGCAGAAGUGGUAAUGUUGUUAGUGUUUAUAUUGUUGAGGUUGCAGGGGAUGUAAGUAUGAACUGAGUUUGUGUUGAGCAGAGUUGGUGUUGUGGAUUGGUGGUAGUGGUUUGGUGUUGGGUAUGUAUUUGAGAUAAGAGAAUGGAUUGCACAUGAUGGUAUUGUUGAACUGUUGGAGGUACUGAAUUGCAACUGGUGAUGGUGUUGUUGUGUUUUGAAUGACAGCAUUGAAGUUAUUGGAGUUUGUAUCUUAAAUGAUGAUGAGGUGUGUUGGUUGGUUUUAGAGAUGAACUGUUGGUGACUGGUGCUGAUAGUAUCAAGCUAAGGAUGAAAUGGAUGUUGGUAUGAGCAGUGUAGGAUUAUAGUUGUUAGUUCAGUAAAAGCUAAAAGCUGCAAUUGCAGUUAGUCUAUUGACAAUGAUCGAUUCAAAGGAUGAACCGGUGGAUCGUGGAUCUCGAGCUAGUCUUGGCUUGUCAUCAAAAGAGUUUCAGAGACAAAUCAGAGUUGCGCAGCGAAAGCUUCGAGGCGUUGAUUUCGUUUGUUAGAUUACUUCUGCUAUGAUUAUUAUGUGGUAUAUUUUAUUUGCAAUCCAAAUGACUAUUAUAUAUGUAUCAAUUGAGAGGAGAUCUUGUAUAUAUAUUUCUGAGCGGGGUUAAUUUUGGGUUAAGUUUUGUAGAAGAUU